GGAGGUUACUGCUAUCGGUGUUCGCCUAACCCAUGCGAGUCAUAUGUUCUUCGUGAACAUGGCGUACUGCUCAGUAACACGUGAAUAACCUGCCCUUGGGACCGGCAUAACCCCGGGAAACUGGGGAUAAUUCCGGAUACCGCAUAUAUGCUGGAAUGCUUUAUGCGUGAAAUGGAUUCGUCUGCCCAAGGAUGGGUCUGCGGCCUAUCAGGUAGUAGUGGGUGUAAUGUACCUACUACCCUACAACGGGUACGGGUUGUGAAAGCAAAAGCCCGGAAAUGGAUUCUGAAACAUGAAUCCAGGCCCUACGGGGCGCACCGGGCGCAAAAACUUUACAAUGCGGAAAACCGUGAUAAGGGGACACCGAGUGCCAGCAACAUUUGUUGGCUGUCCAGGUGUGUAAACUACACCUGUUAGCAAGGGCCGGGCAAGACCGGUGCCAGCAC
rnacentral:rRNA from 1 species